GGGGAAACAAACUGUCCGCCCACUCUACAAGCGCGGCUGAUUGACGUCUAUGAGCAGACACUUCAUACCGUCAGAUGUAUACACGUGUUCCACAUCCCACGGUUCAUACCAUCUAUAAAUACCCAAAGAUUGGCCAGAGGCAAAGGUAAUGAAACUCUCAAUAGAUAGCACUUCAUAACAAGUUUAUAUAUAUUCUCCUCCCCCUUUAUUGACUGAUUGAGUUGUGUAGUCCCUGAACACUGCUCCGACCACCCAAAUCUGACUUGACCGUCGGAGUGUAUACGGCCGCCACCACCGUUGGUUCCGGCCGUGUGCGCCUGACAGUGUGUUCAUUUCGUAGGGAGGAAUACGUGGAGUAGCUACAAGUUGGCCACGUGGAAGAGCCAUUUUUAGAGGUCAACA
rnacentral:lncRNA from 1 species